AAUAACCAAAUAUAACACCAGGGCUAAGGGUCAAAUUGGUAUUUUUUCUUACAUCCCCCCGGGGCCCACAUAUAUAUACGCCGCCAAAAUAAAGGGCCUUGAGUACUAGAAGAAAAGCACCUAGACCAAACAAAAUUAAGUGAACACCCAAAAUUAUAGUCAUUUUAUUUCUAUCUUUCCA
rnacentral:antisense_RNA from 2 species